rnacentral:rRNA from 1 species
GAUGAACGCUGGCGGCGUGCCUAAUACAUGCAAGUCGAGCGAACAGACGAGGAGCUUGCUCCUCUGACGUUAGCGGCGGACGGGUGAGUAACACGUGGAUAACCUACCUAUAAGACUGGGAUAACUUCGGGAAACCGGAGCUAAUACCGGAUAAUAUAUUUAACCGCAUGGUUCAAUAGUGAAAGACGGUUUUGCUGUCACUUAUAGAUGGAUCCGCGCCGCAUUAGCUAGUUGGUAAGGUAACGGCUUACCAAGGCAACGAUGCGUAGCCGACCUGAGAGGGUGAUCGGCCACACUGGAACUGAGACACGGCCCAGACUCCUACGGGAGGCAGCAGUAGGGAAUCUUCCGCAAGGGGCGAAAGCCUGACGGAGCAACGCCGCGUGAGUGAUGAAGGUCUUCGGAUCGUAAAACUCUGUUAUUAGGGAAGAACAAAUGUGUAAGUAACUAUGCACGUCUUGACGGUACCUAAUCAGAAAGCCACGGCUAACUACGUG